rnacentral:rRNA from 1 species
AGUCGAGCGGACAGAAGGGAGCUUGCUCCCGGAUGUUAGCGGCGGACGGGUGAGUAACACGUGGGUAACCUGCCUGUAAGACUGGGAUAACUCCGGGAAACCGGAGCUAAUACCGGAUAGUUCCUUGAACCGCAUGGUUCAAGGAUGAAAGACGGUUUCGGCUGUCACUUACAGAUGGACCCGCGGCGCAUUAGCUAGUUGGUGAGGUAACGGCUCACCAAGGCGACGAUGCGUAGCCGACCUGAGAGGGUGAUCGGCCACACUGGGACUGAGACACGGCCCAGACUCCUACGGGAGGCAGCAGUAGGGAAUCUUCCGCAAUGGACGAAAGUCUGACGGAGCAACGCCGCGUGAGUGAUGAAGGUUUUCGGAUCGUAAAGCUCUGUUGUUAGGGAAGAACAAGUGCAAGAGUAACUGCUUGCACCUUGACGGUACCUAACCAGAAAGCCACGGCUAACUACGUGCCAGCAGCCGCGGUAAUACGUAGGUGGCAAGCGUUGUCCGGAAUUAUUGGGCGUAAAGGGCUCGCAGGCGGUUUCUUAAGUCUGAUGUGAAAGCCCCCGGCUCAACCGGGGAGGGUCAUUGGAAACUGGGAAACUUGAGUGCAGAAGAGGAGAGUGGAAUUCCACGUGUAGCGGUGAAAUGCGUAGAGAUGUGGAGGAACACCAGUGGCGAAGGCGACUCUCUGGUCUGUAACUGACGCUGAGGAGCGAAAGCGUGGGGAGCGAACAGGAUUAGAUACCCUGGUAGUCCACGCCGUAAACGAUGAGUGCUAAGUGUUAGGGGGUUUCCGCCCCUUAGUGCUGCAGCUAACGCAUUAAGCACUCCGCCUGGGGAGUACGGUCGCAAGACUGAAACUCAAAGGAAUUGACGGGGGNCCCGCACAAGCGGUGGAGCAUGUGGUUUAAUUCGAAGCAACGCGAAGAACCUUACCAGGUCUUGACAUCCUCUGACAACCCUAGAGAUAGGGCUUUCCCUUCGGGGACAGAGUGACAGGUGGUGCAUGGUUGUCGUCAGCUCGUGUCGUGAGAUGUUGGGUUAAGUCCCGCAACGAGCGCAACCCUUGAUCUUAGUUGCCAGCAUUYAGUUGGGCACUCUAAGGUGACUGCCGGUGACAAACCGGAGGAAGGUGGGGAUGACGUCAAAUCAUCAUGCCCCUUAUGACCUGGGCUACACACGUGCUACAAUGGACAGAACAAAGGGCUGCGAGACCGCAAGGUUUAGCCAAUCCCACAAAUCUGUUCUCAGUUCGGAUCGCAGUCUGCAACUCGACUGCGUGAAGCUGGAAUCGCUA